UUCAAAAUACUCAGUCAAUUUGGGGCAAGUCCCUCUAAGGCUAACUCAGGUGCAAUUCACCUUGAGAACACAACAAAAUCAAUCACUUCAAGAGUCGGUUAGACAAAUACAAAUAUUUUCAAAAUCUCGGACAGGGGAAAGUCAUCUCAAGAGUACAGUGGAGUCCAUCUUCCAAAGACCAACCGAUUUGAAGUGUAUCAUUUCGAGGAUCGAUCAGGGGCAAACCACUACAAGAUUCAGACACUAGGGAAAAUUGGCUUAGAC
rnacentral:lncRNA from 1 species